rnacentral:rRNA from 1 species
GUGGGGAAUAUUGGACAAUGGGGGGAACCCUGAUCCAGCCAUGCCGCGUGUGUGAAGAAGGCCUUUUGGUUGUAAAGCACUUUAAGCGAGGAGGAGGCUACCGAGAUUAAUACUCUUGGAUAGUGGACGUUACUCGCAGAAUAAGCACCGGCUAACUCUGUGCCAGCAGCCGCGGUAAUACAGAGGGUGCAAGCGUUAAUCGGAUUUACUGGGCGUAAAGCGCGCGUAGGUGGCCAAUUAAGUCAAAUGUGAAAUCCCCGAGCUUAACUUGGGAAUUGCAUUCGAUACCGGUUGGCUAGAGUAUGGGAGAGGAUGGUAGAAUUCCAGGUGUAGCGGUGAAAUGCGUAGAGAUCUGGAGGAAUACCGAUGGCGAAGGCAGCCAUCUGGCCUAAUACUGACACUGAGGUGCGAAAGCAUGGGGAGCAAACAGGAUUAGAAACCCCGGUAGUCC